rnacentral:rRNA from 1 species
GAAAAACGGCACCGGAUAACUCCGUGCCCCAGCAGCCGCGAGUAAAUACGGAAGGAGCAAGCGUUAAUUCGGAAUGACUGGGAGUAAAGCGCACGCUAGGCGGUUGGUUAAGUCAGAAGGGAAAUCCCCGGACUAAACCUGGGACACUGCAUAAGAGACUGGACAAGAUAGAGUAUCGUAGAGGGGGGUAGCAAUUCCAGUGUGUAGCGGUGAAAUGCGUAGAGAUAUGGAAGAACACCAGUAGGCGAAGGCGGCCCCCUGGACUGAAGACUGACAGCUCAGAUGCGAAAGCGUGCGGAGCAAACAGGAUUAGAUACCAUGGUAGUCCACGCAGUAAACGAUGUCAACUAGCAGGUUGUGAAGCCUUGAGGCGUGAGCUGCCGAGCAGCUAACGCAUUAAGUCGACCGCCUGGGGAGUACGGCAACAAGGUUAAAACUCAAAUGAAUUGACGGGGGCCCGCACAAGCGGUGGAGCAUGUGGUUUAAUUCGAAGCAACGCGAAGAACCUUACCAGGUCGUUGACAUCCACGUGAACUUUAUCAGAGAUGAGAAUGGUGCCUUCGGGAACAGUGAGACAGGUGAUGCAUGGCGUGUAGUCAGCUCGUGUCGUGAAAUGUUGGGUUAAGUCCCGCAACGAGAGCAACCCUUAUCCUUAGUUACCAGCACGUCAUGGCCGGGAACUCAAGAGGAGACGGCCAUGGUGACAAACCAGAGGAAGGUGGGAGAUGACGUCAAGUACAUCAUGGCCCUUACGACCAGGGAUACACACGUGAUACAAUGGUCGCAUACAAAGAGAAGCUGACAAGCUCGCGAGAGCAAGCGAGUUAAUCCUCAGAAAACGCGAUCGUAGUCCGGAUGUCGAGUAUGCAACUCGAAUCCAUGAAGUCGUGAAUCGCUAGUAAUCGUGGAUCAGAAUGCCACGAUGAAUACGCUCCCCGGCCUAGUACACACCGCCCGUCACCACCAUGGGAGUGAGUAGCCGCAGAAAGGGGCCGUUAUACCCAUGUGGAGGACAGUGUGCGCUCGGUUGUGACGAAGUGG